rnacentral:rRNA from 1 species
UACGGAGGGUGCGAGCGUUGUCCGGAAUCAUUGGGCGUAAAGAGCUCGUAGGCGGUUCGGCAAGUCGGAUGUGAAAUCUCCACGCUCAACGUGGAGGGGCCAUUCGAAACUGCCGUGACUCGAGUCCGGUAGGGGAGUGCGGAAUUCCCGGUGUAGCGGUGAAAUGCGCAGAUAUCGGGAGGAACACCAGUGGCGAAGGCGGCACUCUGGGCCGGAACUGACGCUGAGGAGCGAAAGCGUGGGGAGCGAACAGG